rnacentral:tRNA from 1 species
GAAGGAGGACAUCUUCUAUUCUUAAUCUUAGGGGUUUAUUAAUGAUUGGGUAUUAUUCGUUUGUUCUCUAUAAAAUAUGAAUUUUUUCUAUCUAUCUAACUUUCUUGUUAAAGAAAUUUUUUUUAUAUUUUCUAAAAAAAGAAAGAAGGUUCUAAAAAGGUCAAAAAUCUGGAGUUGAAAUUAAUUACUUAAAAAAAAAAUGAAAAGUGAACCUAAAUUCUAAAUACAGGGCGGA